GAUGAAGAACGCAGCGAAAUGCGAUACGUAAUGUGAAUCGCAAAUUCAGUGAAUCAUCGAGUCUUUGAACGCACAUUGCGCCCCCUGGUAUUCCGGGGGGCAUGCCUGUCCGAGCGUCAUUGCUGCCCUCAAGCACGGCUUGUGUGUUGGGCCCCGUCCUCCGAUCCCGGGGGACGGGCCCGAAAGGCAGCGGCGGCACCGCGUCCGGUCCUCGAGCGUAUGGGGCUUUGUCACCCGCUCUGUAGGCCCGGCCGGCGCUUGCCGAUCAACCCAAAUUUUUAUCCAGGUUGACCUCGGAUCAGGUAGGGAUACCCGCUGAACUUAAGCAUAUCAAUAAGCGGAGGA
rnacentral:misc_RNA from 1 species